rnacentral:rRNA from 1 species
UACGGAGGGGGCUAGCGUUGUUCGGAAUUACUGGGCGUAAAGCGCGCGUAGGCGGCUUUGUAAGUCAGAGGUGAAAUCCCGGGGCUCAACUCCGGAACUGCCUUUGAAACUGCAUCGCUUGAAUCCGGGAGAGGUGAGUGGAAUUCCGAGUGUAGAGGUGAAAUUCGUAGAUAUUCGGAAGAACACCAGUGGUGAAGGCGGCUCACUGGACCGGCAUUGACGCUGAGGUGCGAAAGCGUGGGGAGCAAACAGG